rnacentral:misc_RNA from 1 species
GGGUCGGCAUGGCAUCUCCACCUCCUCGCGGUCCGACCUGGGCUACUUCGGUAGGCUAAGGGAG